rnacentral:lncRNA from 1 species
AUUUGGUCUUCAGUUUGAAAUUUUCUGUUGCAGUCCUUAGAUCAACAUGCUUAAGGAGCACUGAUGAACCUGAUGUUAGAAGUAAGAAAACUGAUCAGACAAAAACUUGAUAUUAAUUCACAGUUAUCUUUUUCUUUGACUUCAAGGGUGGAAUCCAUUAUUUUAAAUAAAGUUCCUGAGCCUGUAGCUGGUUACUCUGCAGAAUUUGUGAACAAGGUGCUUAAGACUGUGGAGAAGGGAGAGGUGGCUGAAGAUCCUGAACAGGAAUAACUUACUUCUCUACAAAGUUUGCAUAGUUUCUAAGAUGUACAAAUGUAUAGUUGGGUUAGAUAUUUUGUAUGAGUUUCAUUUUAGAUUUAAGAGUUUAGUUUAGUUAGAUCUUUUUUGGAAUUUCGUACAUAUUAUUGGACUUUUUUUUCUUUCUAAUGGGAGAACUGUAAAUACACCUUAACUAAACUCAUUGACGUCAGUAUUAUAGGCUGAUGUUUGGAAUAUAUUAUAUUAGUUUUAUUUGUGUAAUAAAUAGUUGCUUUCUUUUAUUAUUUUCAUUACAGUAUGUCUUGUGACAUGGUCAUAUUGACAUAUCUGAACAAUUACUGAAGAUCUAUCACAUAUAAUACUUUUAUUGAAGUUUUGUAAAAAAAAGACUAAUAGUAGAAAUUAAUUUGCAGUAUUUUAAAGUGUAUGACAUACAACCCUGUCAGUUGUUAGAACUACAGCCAUCAGUUACUUGUAUGCUAAGAAAGUAACUGUGUGCUAAUUUUAAUUGUUCUUUUUCUCUUUGUUCUGAUACAAACACCACUAUCUUUUAAAAAUAUUAAAAUACAUUAUUUUGUAUAAGUAAUAAACUAGCAUUUUGUUACCACGUGACAGCAACUUAAUUAACCUAGAGUAACGAACUGACAUUAUGUUGUGUUAAGAAUAUUUUAAACUAACUUGUUUCGAAUGUUGAAAUGGGUUUGGAUCAAACGAUGUCCACUGAAUGGAAAGUGGCCAGCUUCUAGUCCUUCUGUCUGUUAGAAGCUAGACGUAAACCGGAUAUGGAAAACAUAAUACAUCAUUAGAAAUAAAGAAAAUAAAACUAGUUGUAACACAGUAAGAGUAUAAAUUUAGAUUUUUUUCCUAAUAUGAUUUUCAAUUUGAAUCGGUAUUUUUAUUCUUCUGGGUGCUUAAGUAAUGUUUGACAAGACAGUUCAAGCACUGUGACAUAGACAAUGAUCAAAUAAAAACAUGAACUAAUAUUUAGUAAUCUUACAAAUAGAUGUGUUUUAGUAGAGUUUCAGUAGAGACGGUCUUCUCUGGUAAAGGCCAACAUCAAAAGUAAAAUGAAAGUUUGUGUAUUGAGACUUCCAGAGCUAUACUUCUGUUUGUUUCGGGAUAACUAAGCUUGGGACAUUUUCAACUGGACCUAAAGUUUGUUUUUAAAGUCAUUCUAACUACCAAAAAAUUAAUUAUGUGCUGAUAUGGAAGUCUUUCUAUUCUCGUAGUUUAGUUUUAUAAAUAAGGGAUAAUUUUGAAAAUGAGAAAUACUCCUUUUAAAAAGCUAUAAAUAUCAGUCUAUUUAAACUUUUGUAUAGAAUAUUGCUAACUGUUGCAGAAAAGUUCAAGAAAUUAUGCUAAUUUAUUGGAAAAGUUGAGAAAUUAAGAUUACUAUAUAUAUAUAUAUGUAUAUGGUUUUAUUGAUCAUAUUUUAGGUUGAACAAUCAAAAAAUAAUUCAAAUUUUUUUAUUUUUUUUAAUUAUUCAAAUGCUUUUAUGUGACUUGUUAAUGCUGUUUUGCCAAUAGUGAAUAUAAAGGAACUUGUCCUACUGUCUUUGCCAGUAAGUGAAUGUGACAAGUUCUUUCACUACUGUCUUUGCCAGUAAAUGAAUAUGAAGAACUUGUCAUUACUGUCUUUGCCAGUAAGUGAAUGUGAAAGAACUUGUCAUUACUGUCUUUGCCAGAAAACGAAGAAAACUUUUCACUAGAAGAACACUACUGAAAACCUAACAUUAUAGUUUUCUGUGAUAGCUGCGUAUUACUGCUGUUGAUGUAGUUUCUAAGUUUGUCAUUCCAACUGAUGAGGUUUGAAAACUGUGCUGAUGGCUGCAGCCAAGUUUGAAUGGUACCCAACUACUUUGUGUUUCACAGCUGGCAUCUGCUGAUUUUUUUUUCACCUUCCUUUUCCUUGUCAAUGCAAUGUAAGAACUCGUUUGUUUCAAAUCUUUGGUGUUUUUUAUUCCUCAUGGACAAAAUACUUUCAGCUCUGUAAUGUAAAAGUUAUAAUGGAUUAAAAUAUUAGUUCAAAUAAUGUUCUAUAACACAUUUGUUGUCUAAAUUUUAAUAGAACAUAUGAUGUUUUUGAAAGGCAAUUUCCUGCUAAUUAAGUAGGGGCAAUUUCUUCCCACCCCAUUUUCUUUUGAAGUUUGCAAUUUGAAGUAUGACUGUAUCCCUAAAUGUAUAAUAGGAGUUUUGGGGAAAGAAAAGUUAGUUUAUAAUUGUAGUGAAAAAGUUAAUUUGUAUGUUUCGCUGUAGGAAGUAUAAUUGUAUUGAAGGUCAAUAAAGUUUGGAGAUGGCUUGAAUGAAUAAUGAAAA